AGACCCAUUCCAAUCACGAUUACACAUUCAAUGCAUCUAUUCAAGGCAGUGAUCUCCAACUAUAAGAUGGUAAGCUUUCACUCUGUAAAACUCAUCUUCACUACUCUUGAAAAAACACUAGAAAAUUCUUUUCAGUAGAAUGGCAAAUUCACAGAGUGCGUUUAUAUACAGAAUCCCGUAAGCGUUUAUAUGUAUAGAUUUUCAAAAAGUGUGUUUUUUGUAUUGUCAAAAUCUGGGAAUCAUCUAAUACUAAUUGAUAGAAUGCUUUUCUAUAGGGAAGCAAGAUAUAACAAAAUCCAUUUUCGACCUCGCCGAUUUCUUGAUCCAACUAUUUCUCCUGCAACUACAUAGUUGUUAGUUGUCUUCGAUUCUCUCGACGGUUCCUCCAACAUCGAUCCUGCAUGUUCCACCGGUUCCAUCUUCGGUAUCUAGAGCCCCAAUGGCCACUCUUAAUAAGGUGAAACUUCCUCCUCCGGUUGUCUAUUAAUAAGCCCUCCUUUUGAGCUUAUUUGAUCAUCAUGUCUUUGACUCUAUCAGAUUUUUCAAUUGUUCUUUGAAGUUGUGACGGAGACAAGUGCAUUAGUUGUAUUGGAAGUGAGCUUGGUGCCUUUUUUUUUCUGAAAUCAGUUGGUGUUUCGAUGGGAAUGCUUCAACACGAAGAAUCUGAUUUCAUUAAAUGGGGAGAGAUAUUGCUUCUUGACUCUUUGAGUACAAAUGAUAUGGUUGAAAACUACAUUGGAUCUUUCUCUGAGUCAUUUCCGAUUCCACUUUCGUGCCAUCUCCUUAACCUGAUACUGAAUGCUGCUUUCAAAGUCCCCGGGAAGCUCCAAAGGUGGAGAAUAUUGCAGCUGGUAUUCUUUGGGAUUUGUGUAAUACUACUGAGAGGCUUUUGUCACAAAGUGUGAAGCAUCGUUCAUGUGCUAUUAGUUUCCUCUUCCCUGCUAUUUUCAAGGAAUUCUCUUCUCAGUCUUCUCUGAAGAUCUCACUUCAAGGGAACGUGUACAUACUUUCAAGGUAAGGUCAAGGAAACAAAGAGUUAUGCGCUUUUAGGUUGUUUUUUUUUAAUCGUGUUCUGAUCUUUAAAGCUGUAAAAAAUCCAGGAAUGGCAUCAAGAAAAGGAUUUCGGAAUGCUGCCAGAAGCUGUUCUCGGUUGGAUCAAUAGAGAGAAAGGAUGCUUACAAUGUUCUCUCUUUGUGCCUUUCUUCUGGCUCUUGGACGGACGGAACAGAAAGUUAUGUCUCAGAAAAGGACCUUGUCUAAGAACCAUGAAUACGAUAUAUAUUUAGAUCUCUCUAUAUAUAUAGAUCCAGCGCUCAAAUAUAUUGUGGGGUUCUUAGAUCCUAACCUCUCCGGGAGAUCACGUAAUGCAAGAUCUAGAGCUCAGAGAUUUUGUGGGGUUCUUUGAAUCUAUUAAAAGCAAAGAAGAAAUCAGGUGUGCGUAAAGGAGUUGUAACUGAUUCCAGUGAAGGGUGCAAGAUGGGUAGAAUGGAACGUCUCAUGCUUCGUCCCCACAAUCCUCAUCUCAGAUACAAGGUUUGCGCUAUACUAAACUCAUAUUUGUUGUUCUGUAUGUCAAGCUUAUUAUCUUCAGUGCCUAGCUUUCUUUCUCUUUAUUCAAAAUUUCAAAUAUAUGUUUAGAGUUUUUUGUUGAUAUGAGUUUUGUCAUUUAAGGGCAUUGUUAUGUGGCAAAAAAGCCAUGCCCCUAUCAGUCAAACACAGUAAAAUAUGAGCUUCUUUCUUUUGCUUUCUAUACAAGAGCUUAAACAAUCUGAAAUCUUACCGACUUGAUGGAUUUUUUACACUUCAUGUUUCUUGCAGCCAAAUAUAGAAGGAAUAUGCCAUAAUAAAAAAUGUUAGGGAGAAGUUUAUACAAUAAAAAGGCACUCAUGUAUGUGGUGUUCUCUCUGUGGCUGCGUCCCUUGAUAAGCAAUGCUUCUUUUGAUUACGUGUAAUGCAUCUAUGAAUGUCUUCAGAGUUGGCUUAUUAAUUUCAUACCCUCAAGAAACAUUAGAUCGUUGGUGUGUUUCCUGCAAUGGACCAUAUUGAAGGUGAAAAAUAUCUGAAGCUAUUUGUGAUCCUAGAACCAGAAGUGACAUUUAUGCUGAGGUCAAGAAAAGAAGGUUGUCUAAUAGUUGCUGUUGGACCCAAUUUCGUGGGCCGUGAACAAAGAUAUGAGCCGUAAGGAACUGAAGCCCAUAGCAAACAAUCGAGCUCGAAAAUGAAGACUCCGAGGUCCCGGAGAUCGCGGAGCAGUCCCGGAGAUCGUGGAGCAGUUACGAAGAUCACGAGGUCGACUUACUAUAAAGGAAGGAGACUGGACAUGAAGAAGGAGACGUGGAAAACCCUAGAGAGAGCUACACACUUACAUCGACCUUGUUCUCAUCCCAAUCUUAGAUUCUUUAUUUAUGGAUCUCAUUUGUAUCACUCGAUCUAGUUCAACUCAUUGUAUUCGAUCUUAUUCAUCAAUAAAGUCCAUUUUUACCUACUGAAAAUUGUUUAACAUCGUUGUAUUCUAAAGAUAUCGUUGCUUACAUCAUUUGUCUUCCCUAGAUCAAACCCCGAUCACUAUCAAAUACUUAGUGUAGAUUUUAGGUUCUACAACUGCCAGUGAUGGUCUUUUGGAUGUAAUGACCAACCAAUAAGUCUGAAAUAGCGAGGAAAGAGGAUACAAAUUUUGAUGAGGGAAAACAAGCACGGUGCACCACCUAUAGCAGUGAUAGAGAGAGGGAAAGGAAUGGACCAUGCUUGCCAAAUAGCAGUUGAGUACGUCUUCACCAGCUCUUCAGAAAGGAAACAAAGACUUCUUUUUUGGGUGUUAAAGCAGAUGAAUAUGUUGGUCCAAAAAAAAGUAGAUGAAUAUGUUGCAAUGUUUUCAGAUAUAGCUAAUGAAAUUUAAUUGCAGCCAUGUCACAUUAACCUUUUCCCUUUUGUUUUUUUCUUUAAAUCCCUAAAGUUUUUGUGAUUUCAUUAUAUUUACAUAAUUGUCUUUAGAUCUUCAAAUUUUCGUAGUUUUUCCAUAGAUCUGUAUUUCCAUCUUUAUGUGUGCAUGUUUCAAUCUCCAUGUGAAAAAGCUUAAGACAAAAUAAAACUCUACAUGUGUAUUUUAACUGAGAUUCAAACUUUUUGAGAAAUAAGGAAAAAGAAUUCAGCUCAUUUUUUUUCAAAGAAUAAAUUAUUUAGUAAUCGUCAAAAAGUUUAUUUCAUAUUAAUGUGACGUUGUAUUAAGAAAAAAACAAAUAGUGUUAUCCUUCUAUUACCUAAUUAAUAAUUGUAUUAAAAAUACAAUGCAACUAUUAAAAUCAAGAUUUACAUUAUUAAUUAGUUUAUAUGGAAUAUAUUUUAAAGUAAACUAUUUUCAUACGUUUUUGUAAAUAUUUGUAUUUUGUUAAAAAAUAUUUAAUCAAAAGUCGCAAAAUUUCAAAGGAAAUUUAACAGUUUUUAGAGUAGUAAUAUAUAUAUAUAUAUAUAUAUUAUAGUUUUAACCCAACAAAGCAUUUGACCGAUUGUAACUGAUAUAUCAAGUUUAAUAAUAUAAAUUUAUUCUAGCUAUUUAAAUUAUUUUCAAUUUUUAAUGGGCGGGCUCUAAUAGAUUAUAAUCCUCCGUGUUAGAGCAAAUGCGGUCGUGGCAGAUGCAAUUACAGGAUCAUCAUGAACUUUACCGCACCCUCGUUCGCAAAAGAAAGUCCUCAACAACGUGGGAGGUGCUGAGGCCGAGACAGGUGACAAAGAGCUGGGUGGAUGUCGUUUGGUUCAAAGGAGCAAUCCCCAAGCUAAGCUUCAACAUGUGGGUUGCGAACUAUGAUAGGCUGUCAACACACUCCAGGCUUGCAGCAUGGGGACUACAUAUCUCCGCAAACUGCCCCUUCUGCUCCAACUACGAGAAAACUAGAGACCACCUCCUCCUCUCAUGUGAGUACAGCCAAGCCAUCUGGAGGGAGAUCUUCAUCAGGUGUUAACCGCCUGCAUCGCCUUUCGCAAAUUGGUCUGAGCUUCUUUCUUGGAUCAGAGUUGCCCGAUCUUCAAAGCUAAAUCUACUAAGGAAGCUUACAACACAAUCAGUGAUCUACCAACUGUGGAAGCAGAGAAACAAUCUGGUUCACAAUCAAACAUCAAUACUGGCUGCAACUGUGUUCCACGGCAUCGACAGAGAGCUGAGGAACAUCAUCUCAGCAAGGAGACACAUGAAGAGAUUUGACUCCCUCAUGGUUAUGUGGCUAAGAUAGUUGAUCUUUGUAGGAAAAUUAGGCUCCAUUUUAUUUUUUUACUUUUUUUUUGCCAAAAAUGGAUCAAUUUUUAGUUAUUACUAUUGUAAGAACUCUUCUUUCAUGAUA